rnacentral:rRNA from 1 species
CACGCCCUAAACGAUGUCAACUAGCUGUUGGGGCCAAUAGGCUUUAGUAGCGCAGCUAACGCGUGAAGUUGACCGCCUGGGGAGUACGGUCGCAAGAUUAAAACUCAAAGGAAUUGACGG